UUUCACCUCUAGCCUACCCCAACUUGUUUGGGACUAAAGGCUUUGUUGUUGUUGUUGUUGUUGUUGUUGUUGUUGUUGUUGUUGUUGUUGUUGUUGCUAAAUUCUGUCAUGUCCCUUUCCUUUGGAUAACAUGGACAUGUGCUGCUUGUUUUCUUGUGAUAAUGCUGAUCCAAUUGACUAGCCCAACUCUUAUGCUCUGACAUUUGUUAAUUCCCAGUUAGUUUGCCUGAAAAUUUAUUGUUUGUCAUGUUUAAUUUUGUGGCAUCAACUCGGUAUUGUGAUUAAUGACCUAGUAUUUGUUUAGUGUAGACAGUUGACUUCUUUUUUCUAAUUUUUAGUGAUAUGCGUGUUUUGUUAUGUCUUAUGUGGAUAUCAUAUUCUUUUUUUGUAUUACUAAUGUCCAGUCAAUGGAAAAUGCUUUUCUUGCUUUGCCUAGACUUUGUGACAGUUAACUUAUAGUGUGCGGUCAUUGAUCAUUGAGCUUCUGACACCCUAUUCCAUAAAAUUUUGUAGUAAUGUUUGCUGGAUCAUUGAGUAGUUAAUAUUGAUUCUAAGUUUGGUGGAUCAUUCAACUUCUGCGUGCACUUCGGUUAUCUGAGAGACACUCACGAUCCUGUGUUUCGUGUUCGUGGCGGUGCGAUGAACGAUUACAUUUCGUGUUUCUGUGUUUCAUGUUCGCCAUUAGGUUUUGAAUUUGGAUUACGGAGAUGGACAGAGGCCAAAGCAUGGUCAGUUUAUCGUGUUCAUUCAGAUCGGUUUCUCGGUUCCGUCGCUGCAUUGUUCGUCGGCGAUUUCCAGACCUCAAACGCAUGUGCCCUUGUGAUACUCUGGUUUGGCUCGCUGGUCGUUAUGGUUGUUCGUUACGGUUGUUCUUAUGUUCUUGAAUUACCCUUCUUAUAAGCAGAGAUGGGGUGAUUCACUAUGGUCGUUCUGAUGGUUGCUUGUUUAGUGUUCUUUCCAAUUGGGUUCUUCUUGCCAUGCUUUGCUUAUGUUCCGAAUGUCUGUCUUUCCAUAUAUGGGGAUGCGUCCUGGGUGCAAACCGUGUAGGCGUGUGUUUUAUACUAGCUAUGGUGUGUUUUAUACUAUCUGAUGAGGAAGGUGGAAAUAUUGAUAUCACUUCUGUGUUAGUAUACUUGAUAUGGUGUGUUUUAUUCAAGUUAUUAACCACGUCUUUUACAAAUUUUCCUUGAGAUACAUGUUUAUAUGGCAGGAGUGAUUGUCUUGAUGACUAAUCAUUUAUGCUAACUUGGUAUUGGUAGUGCCUGAUCAUAGGUAACAGACCAGUACUUGUUUAGUGCAGACAACUGACUAUUCUUUUUUCUGAACUUUUUUGUGAUAUGUGUGUUAUGUGGAUAUCAUAUUCUAAUGCUUUUCUAAGUAUUUAAGGUACAGACUUGCGGAUCUGGACAUGUCACAUUUGCUCUUUAUUGUGUUGCUAAGGACACUUAACGGCUUGGCUGGGCCACUGCACGGCCUGGCUAAUCAGGUACACUUGAUUUUAUGUGUAGUUGAUGUUCUCUGCCACAUCAUGCUCAACUUGUACUUGCCAAAUGGAUCUCCUGGAACAAAUUGUUCGUAAUAAAUGAACAAAUUGCAGAACUUGUGGCUGUGCUAUUUACCCACUUGCUUUUGCACAUGAUGUUAAGAAGAAGAAAAGCAUACACCCUGUUAUUUUAAAAUGCUGCGUUUACUGUUUUGAUGUGCAUAAACUGAGAAUAGUCACCAUAUACUGGAGGAAGUGUAGCUAUGGAUCAGAUCUGUAAUGGAAGAGACUGGGAGUAACAUUACAAUCGACCAACUUAAAGAAUAUGUAUGGAAGACACUGAAGAGUGGAAAGGUUGUAGUGGUUAGAGAGAAGUUUCCAGAAUUGUAUGAAUCUGAACAACAAUGGUUGAGAGCAGCACAAAUGCUUAGUGGCAUUGACUUGGACUCAGGAAUCAGGAUGCUUGAUGACACAAACAAAUUAUCCAAGUGCGUCCAGAUUGCACGACUCUAUUUGGAGUAUGAUGAUGCAGUGAAUGCUGAAGCUUUUAUCAACAAAGACUCGUUUUUGGUCACAAACAGCAACCAGGAAGUUCUGAACUUACAAUACAAGGUCUGCUAUGUGAGAAUUUUAGAUCUAAAGCGUAAAUUCUUGGAAGCUGCACUUCGGUACUAUGGUAUCUCUCAAAUUUUGAGCAACGCCAAAUUGGGGACAAGUAAGGCUUAGUCCAAUCAGGUUGUUCCUGGCUAUGGUCAUGGAGUUCUACGUAAUACAGACCCAAGAUACUCGUGCCAAAGGGAGUUCACAUUGAAAUAUUUACCCGAGGACCCACUUUUCCAAUUGGAACGAAGAUCUGAAAUUCUGAAUCACCCUCACCCCUCUAGAGAAAUCAGUUUACUCAUUCAAGUUCUGGAAUUUCUUUAUAGUUUUCUGGGUUUACUUCGGUCUUGCAUGUAUUAGCUUUCUCUUUGUGCCCCUAUCUAUGCCUGUUUCUUGUGUGCAAGCUCUGCAUUCUGUGUGUGUGACUGUGUGUGGCUUGAUUAUGUGUGCUCUGCAUUCUGUGUGUGUGACUGUGUGGCUUGACUCUGUGUGUGUGUGGCUUGACUAUGUGUGUGGCUUGAUUGUGUGUGUGGCUUGAUUGUGUGUGUGGGCUUGACUGUGUGUGUGAGAUUGUGUGUAGCUUGAUGGUGAAUAUGUGUGUGGCUUGACUCUGUGUGUGUGUGGCUUGACUGUGUGACUGUGUGAAUAUUGCAUUUUCUUGAUGGCGUGGCUUGUAUAACUUGUGUUUUAUAUGUCACGAUUGAUUGUUGUUUGUUGAAUGUGAACAGACCUUACACUAUUCUUUUUUCUAAACUUCUUUGUGAUCAUGUCUUAUGUGGAUAUCAUACUCUUUUUUGUACUAUUGUCAAGAAUAACGCUUUUCUAAGUAUUUAAGGUACAGCCAUGUGGAUCUGGACAUGUCACAUUAGCUCUUUAUUGUGUUGCUAAGGACACUGAUGGGUUGGGUUUGCAUACAAUGCAGUAUGGACCGACAAAAUGGUCUCAUUGCAAGGUGGGUGUAUAGGCAAGCAAUGUCAAGAGAAGAGAGAAGCUUGGACUAUUGAGGAGGAACAUGCAGUGGUUAAUGCCCAUCGGGUAUAUGGGAAUAAAUGGGCAGAAAUAGCAAAAGUUCUUCCUAGAAGGUUCUUCUCACCUAUAGCUAAAGUCAAAGACGACAAACCAAGUGAAUUAUUGGAGUUACAAGAUACACAGAAUCAUCGGUCAUUUAAAUCUUCUUUUCUAAUAUAACUGUUGGUGUUGCUCAUGACGCUAGCCGUGCUUGGAAGCGAUGAGAGGCAACCACUGUUGUCAACUUGAAACGUAUAAUUUUUUAGGUAUGA